rnacentral:rRNA from 1 species
AUUGAACGCUGGCGGCAUGCCUUACACGUGCAAGUCGAACGGCAGCACGGGUGCUUGCACCUGGUGGCGAGUGGCGAACGGGUGAGUAAUACAUCGGAACAUGUCCUGUAGUGGGGGAUAGCCCGGCGAAAGCCGGAUUAAUACCGCAUACGAUCUACGGAUGAAAGCGGGGGACCUUCGGGCCUCGCGCUAUAGGGUUGGCCGAUGGCUGAUUAGCUAGUUGGUGGGGUAAAGGCCUACCAAGGCGACGAUCAGUAGCUGGUCUGAGAGGACGACCAGCCACACUGGGACUGAGACACGGCCCAGACUCCUACGGGAGGCAGCAGUGGGGAAUUUUGGACAAUGGGCGAAAGCCUGAUCCAGCAAUGCCGCGUGUGUGAAGAAGGCCUUCGGGUUGUAAAGCACUUUUGUCCGGAAAGAAAUCCUUGGCCCUAAUACGGUCGGGGGAUGACGGUACCGGAAGAAUAAGCACCGGCUAACUACGUG